GACGAACGCUGGCGGCGUGCUUAAUACAUGCAAGUAGAACGCAGUUGCGAACGGGUGAGUAACGCGUAGGUAACUGCCCCCUUGUGGGGGAUAACCCUUGGAAACGAUAGCUAAUACCGCAUACUGUGAGAUCGCGCUGUGUUGUAUUAGUGAGUUGGUGCGGUCAAGGCUCACCAAGGCGACGAUACAUAGCCGACCUGGGAGGGUUGACGGCCACACUGGGCCUGAGACACGGCCCAGACUGCUACGGGAGGCAGCAGUAGGGGAUGUGCGGCAAUGGACGGAAGGCUGGCCGGGCAACGCCGCGGGAGUGAAGUAGGUGUUCAGAUCGUAAAGCUCGGUAGUUAGAGAAGCGGUAGCUAGCCAGAAAGGGACGGCUAACUACGUGCCAGCAGCCGCGGUAAUAC
rnacentral:rRNA from 1 species